rnacentral:rRNA from 1 species
GAUGAACGCUAGCUACAGGCUUAACACAUGCAAGUCGCGGGGCAGCAUGGGGGUUGCUUGCAAUCCCCGAUGGCGACCGGCGCACGGGUGCGUAACGCGUAUCCAACACGCCCUUCACCACGGGAUAACCCGGCGAAAGUCGGGCUAAUACCGUAUGUGGUACAUUGACGGCAUCCGAGUUGGACGGCAGGUUCGGCGGAGGAGGGUGGGGUGGCGUCCGAUUGGAUGGACGGCGUGGUAACGGUCCACCGGGGCGACGAUCGGUAGGGGUUCUGAGGGGGAGGUGACACGCGCUGGAACCGGGACACGGUGCAGACACCUACGGGAGGCAGCAGUGUGGAAUAUUAGGCAAUGUGCGUAAGCCUGAACCAACCAAGUAGCGUGCAGGAGUACGGCCCUAGGGGUUGUAAACUGCUUGUAUGCGGGAAUAAAGUGGCCCACGUGUGAGUUUUUGCAGGUACCGCAUGAAUAAGGACCGGCGAAUUCCGUG